UUUCUCUAUCUGUCUCGUCUCUUACUUUGGUUUUCCAGAGAGCUCGACCAUAUAACACCCCUAAACGCAUCCUCAAGUCCUCCAUAAGGAUUUUCAACGAUACUAUCAUCCGAGGCACGAAAUCACGAAGCAAUAACACAAGAACUAUCCCCACGACGUAAGUAUUGCUAUAUAACCUCUCUUUUUCUUUGUAGUUUGAGUUUUGGAAGGUAUUUUGAAGUUAAUAAAAAAGCCUAAUUUCUGGUUUCAAGAUCUUAAAUAUCAAGUAAGUUGAUUAAUUCAUUUCAUAAUAUUUAGAACUCACGGGACGGUGAUCGGAAGCCGUGAGUUCGAGUUAUUUGAUUUGUAAUGGACUGUUUUGUGGGCUGUUUCGUGUAGCUUUUGAGCUAUAUAUUUUGCUUCUAUUUAAUGGAGUUUUUGGAGGAUAAAUGGUGUGGAGAAACACCACAUAUUGGUGAAAUAAUGGAUUAGUCAUUCUUUAUAAUACUUUCGGGGUGUUGGACACUACUAUAGUCGUUAUUUUUGGUUUGAAUUGAUUGGGGUAUGUUGGGCUAUUGUAAGCUAAAUAUAACAUGGAUUUCGACUUGCAUCUACUGUAGGAGGUAAUUAUAUUGUGUUCCAACAAGUUCUUAAGGUUAUAUUGAUAUCGGUUGAGUUAAAUGGAUGAACUAGACAUGAACUAGUAAAUAAAGUUGCCAAUUAAGAAUAAUUGGAGUUGUGGAUCAUUUUCUUUGUUAUGGAUAUAUGGUAUAAGGCUGGAAUUACUGAUGAAUGACUUCUUUAUCAUAUUAAUGAUACUAUUAAGUUAAAGUAAAAAGUUUAUAAGGGAUGAUAUGGGGUAUACGAAUUACAAUUGGAGCUUGUCGCUCGUCGUAAAAUAGUUAUGACUUGUUGUUGUUUUAUGGUGUCUUGUUAUUGAUGAUUAUGUAUUGCCGGAUUUCUUUGGUAAUUUUUGUGGGUAUAUUAUAUUGGAGGAGGCUCUUGUUACAGGGGAAAUGCUGCCCGAAUUUAUAUAAACGAGCUACAAGUUUAAGUUGCAGAUUUAGCCUUUAUUCAACACUGAUUUUGAAUCUCCUUAUGUAAUGGUGGGUUGAGUUGAGUUGUUUGAAGAGUAGCUUGGGAGGUAUUAAGGACUCACCAUGGUUAAGGUAUGUUAAGGCACUUUAUUCUUUCUUUUGGCAUGAUCUAAAUUGAAAUGAACAUAAACGAUACACUAUUUCAUAAUGAAUCUACUCCUAGCAAAUAAGGUUGUACAUGUUGUUAUUUCCGUACAAAGUUAUUCUAAGAAAGUAUGUAUGAUUCUUGAGUCCUAGUGAAGUUCAUAUUGAUGGUAUGAUGUCCAUAAUGCUAAUCAAAGGUGAAAGGACCUUACGUCACUCUGAAAGGUUUAGAACGUGAUUCCAUGAGUCUAGCAUGCAUUAUAUAUAAUAUCUAUUUUGAUCUACCGAGCCGCACUAUAGUAGGUCGGGUACGACACCAAUUGUGCAACCACUAAUUAGUUGGAUUUACCGAGCUCCACGUGGCCGGGUACGAUUCUACCGAGCCUUAUGAUGGCCGGGUACAUUUUUACCGAGUCCUCUUUGAGGCCGGGUAUGAUAUGAUGAUGAUGCCUACAAAGGCGUAUGUUUUUAAAAGUUUAUGUAUAUAUAUGUAUUAUGCACUUCAUGUCAGUAGCUCCCAGAGGCACGCAAAUGUUACAGGUUGUAUCUCCUCUAUCUCUCUUUACAUUAAUGUUCUUGUUUAUGCUUUCCUGCCUUACAUACUCAGUACUUUAUUUGUACUGAUGUCCCUUUUGCCUGGGGACGCUGCGUUUCAUGCCCGCAGGUCCCGAUUGAUAGGUUGACAGUCUUCCUAGUAGGCUAUCAGCUCAGCGGAGGUGUUGGUGCACUCCACUUGCUCCGGAGUUGCCUAUUUGGUCAGUAUGCUUUGGAUAUGUAUUGAUUGGUAUGGCGGGCCCUGUCCCGACCUUUAUGAUUUUAUGUAUUCUUAGAGGCUUGUAGGCAGAUAUCAGGUUUAUGGAUACGUGCAUGGCCUUAUUUGCCUCNNNNNNNNNNNNNNNNNNNNNNNNNCACCGAGUGCCCUUCGCGGCCCUUCGGUUUGGGUCGUGAAAAAAGUAGUAUCAGAGCAGUUCUGUCCUAGGGAGUCUACAAUCCGUGUCUAGUAGAGUCUUGUUUAUGGGUGUGUUGUGUACCACACUUAUAAGCAGGAGGCUACGGGGCAUUUAGGAUUGUCACUCUUUCUUCUUACUCUAGAUCGUGUUGUAGAGCUCAAUUGUAAAAAUUCAAACUUCUAAAUUCUAUUGUGUUCGUAAUACAACAAUACCUCAUCCAAAUAAAUAGAUGGUAUGAGAUUGAAUGUGGUUGUUGAAGAGUUGAGUCAGAGGAACUCGAUUUUGCAUCAUGCUUAUGAUGAGCAAAUGUGGGGUCUUCAGCAGAUCAUGUGUGUUAUAAGAUGUGUAAGCUUCUUGAUAAGGAUCCCUAAGGCAAGAAUAUCUAUCCACUCGUAUGGUAAAAAGGAAUAAGUGAAUCGGAAAGUAGACACAAGUUUCAGUAAGUAAAACAAGCAAGAUGACGAAGGGUACGAGGUACCUAGUUAAUGAAGAUUAUCAGUAUUUAAAAUUCAGGCAGAGAAAUGUAAGUAUUGGUGUUACCUUCAAUAUUAACGGUGAUAUAUACAAUUGACGACACUCAUCUCAGUUUUGCCCUAUGGGAGCUAACAAAUAUAAUUUAAAAGAAUAAGGUGAUAUCAAGAUUCAACUCGGGUUAGAGUAACUCAAAAUUAUGGAUGGAUUGUUAUCAUUAAUUCAUGUUUCCGAACAAUAGCGCAAAUGUGGUAAUAUAUCUUCUUGUGAGACACCUAGAUGGUGAACUUUAGAAUAGUAUAAUCAGAUAUGAAUACUAGAAUAUUCAGAAAUUUCAUAAGAUAGGCGGUGAGAUCCUAGAAUAGGCAAAUAUUUACCUUAGUAUGACUCCAGCCCCGAGUAAAGAAAAAAGAGAAUGUUAGGCAUUCCGAAGAGCCAGUGAGAUGAAGAAAGGGGAGCUAAAAGGGAAAGAACAUUUUGUCAGAGUUUUCAGAAUAAAGUGAUAGAUAAAGAUAUUAUCCGGAGAAUAAGAAGGGAGUAAAUAAAGAAUCAUGAGUAAGAUGUGAUAAAUGGAUGAUAACGGUAAAUCAAAAUAUGACACAAUGAUAGAGUCCAUAGUCAAGUGAAGGAAAAUACAAGAGGUGACAGGCCUUGAGGCAAUAAAAGAGUAUAAGCCAUAAAGUUAUAUCCUUAUUCCGAGAAAUGAGUUGGUGCCUUCAAUGUGAUUACCAGGAGGAAAGGUUAGACCCCAGAAUAAUAAAAAUCAGUAUGUGCUGGUGAACAAGAUAAACUGAACAUGAAUUAGGGACUGAAGGAUUUUAUAAUGGUUGAUAUCAUGAGAAUUUCAGAGAUAACAUUCCGAUAAUAAUAGAAUGGACAACAAAAUAAUAACCUUUAAGGUUCAUUUAGGAAGAUCCUUCCCUAAAGCAAGCACGUGGAGUAGAGUUAAGCUUAGGGAACUAAGUGUGCCAGUUACACUAAGUGUCGCCCUUAUGCGUAAUAAAUUCGAUUAUCCCCGAUAGAGAGGGGUUACCGCAAGGCGAGUAAGAUGUUAGUGAAGAUGUGAAAAAAUGGCAAGAUGAAGAGGUAACUAUGGAAUAGUAAAGGAGGAUUGAGGUAAAAGGGUGAAAGGAAUGAGACAGAAUAUAUUCAGAUCCUAUAGAUAUGAUAUGACUCCAGAACAUUAUGCAAGUAUGACGCGGGAGAGAAGCUUUAAGUGUUGCACACCCGAUGAUAGUGAUAAAUAAGUGAAAAUGAAUACUUGAUACAUAAGGAGUGAGUGUGGGAGGUAACUUAAGACAAAGUAAAUAACCAAAGAGAGGUUACGAGGAAUAUAGAUAUGAGAAUGGACCAACGAGUAGUUUGUAGUUGAUUCAGGAAAAGCCAAGUUAUGGCUAGACAAAAGGUUAUAAGCAAAUCAUGCAAGAUAAACGUUGUGAAUCCUAAUCUAGUCAAUUCAGUCUCGCAGAUAUGAUGUCGUAACCUUGAGAAGUAUUCAGAUAAGAGUUGGAUUACUAAAGGUAUCGUAUAAGUGUUAUGGAAAUAAUGGAUAGUGCCACUAAGGAGACAAUCAAAAUCUGAGUUUAGAAGUAACCCUACGAGCACGAGGGCACGAAGGUAUGUAACUAAGGAUGUUUGUAGGCGAGUAAUUGGGUAUACAGUAUAACAAGAUCGUAACCUUACAAGAUCCAGAAAGUCUCCUUAAGUACUACAAAGAAAGACUAGCUGAGGAAAUAAGGAAGAGGCUUCAACUUAAGUAUAACCGAUCUAAAGAAGAAAUGAUCUUGUAACAACAGUCUCACUACAAUAUGGUAUACACUCCAUAAGAAAGUGGCACCUAUCGUGAUUAAUGAACGGGAAGUCAGAAGUGAUAUUUGAGAUCAUAUGAGUUAUAGGAAAUUCAAGUAUUGGUGGGCAAUAAGAUAAGCCAAGUAUUCACGCAACAAGUGUCAUAACGACCAGGAAAAGUGAUUGCUUAGAUUUAGAGAACGCUGAGAAGGCACGAAAGGAAUUAUUCAAUCAAUGACCCAGAGUUGGUUACGUUGUGAACGCACUUAAGAUUUCAGAUUUAUAUCCAUGACAUUCAUACAACUAUAGGAGACUCUAGUAUAAGUAAAAGAAAGAAUUAAGUCCACGUCACCGACAAAGACUUGAAUUGUUAGAAGAUUAUAUCAUGGAUGCUACAUAGAGUCCAUGAAAGGCUAAUGUAAUAGCUAAUACCCUAAGCUGAAGAUUGGAAGAUAUCCUAAGCUUAAUUAAAGGCUGAUAAGGUAGAGGAAGCUCGAAAGUUACAUCACGAGUCCGAUUGUUAGACCCAGAUGAUUAUAGAAAUCGUGACUCAAACCAUAGCAGGAGCACUUUUAAUAGCAGAGGUAUAAGAGGGAUAGUAUAACAAUCAUAUUCUAUAAAAGUUCUACGAUAAAGCAAUUAGAAAACUAGCCUCAUAAGACGUUAAUACGAAGCUCCUACCAGAUUGUGUAUGCACCAGGGUUGCAAGUAUUAUAGUAGAGCUUUAAGGUAUGGAUGUGAAUUCCACUAAUGUAGAAGGGAGGUUAUGAAAUUGAUAGAAGAUACGGUGCGAGAUUUAAAGGUAAGUAUGGUAAACAUGAGUGAGAAGGUGACAAUAAUAGGCAAGGUCUCAGGACUAAACCCGUCAAAACAAGAGGUUUGAUGAUUUCCAUGAGCUAUAGAAAGCUCGGUACACUUUGAAUGAACUCAGAGGAGUAUAAGAACAUGAGCAAUUAGAAAAGAUGGAAUACUGCCCUGGUAGUAGAAUAAAGGUGUAAUUGUGAUAGUUAAGAGAAUGACGUUUGGGCCUUCGAUUGAGUAAUGAUUUAAAGAAAAGAGAUUUCAUGGAUGGCACGGUAUUAGAAUGCCCCAUAAGAUGAAUACGUUGGGAUGUUAUGAAAAUGCAUAUUGAAGUAUAGUAUCGUCCCUAGGUGCAUCAAGAAAAUCACUUCAGAUGUUCCCCGAUGAGACGCGAGCCUUAGUGACAAUGUAUUACAUCCGAGGCGAUGGUUGGAGUUAGUGAAGGACUAUGACGUUUAUACUUUAUAUCAUCCAGGGAAGGCGAAUGUAUUAGUCAACGUCCUCAAUCGUAGAUCUAUGUUUAGCCUAUCAAAUUUACAGGCAUAGAAGAGUGAGAUAGCUUGCGAGAUUCAUCUGCUAGCUAAUCUUGGAAUUCGAUUACUAGAUGCAUGUGGUACCAGAGUUACUACUUAGGACAUGAAAAUCUCCUCUUUAGUAGCUGAAGUGAAGGAAUGCCAGUAUGAAGAUCAUGUGCUAGAUCAUUAUAUAGAUACAACCCUUCAAAAGGAGAAGACACUACUUGAGAUUAUAGAAGAUAGAGUCCUUAGAUAUUGAGGUCGAUUAUAUGUUCCUAAUGUAGUAGGGUGAGAUAGAGUCCUUAGAUAUCGAGGUCGAUUAUAUGUUCCUAAUGUGGCAGGGUUGUGCCAGCAGGUUAUGGGACAAGCAAUUAGAAAGUAACCUAGAGUUGUGUAGCACACCUCGGUAAUAAUACCAAGGCUAUAAAACGAAAUAUAGCAAUAGUCGUACAUUCAGCAAAGUACCAAACGAAGAGCUUAAGUAUACCUAUAUAUGCCCAGACGGACAUCUUGUCAUAGUUCUAUAUUUGUAUUCACAAAGCGAAGCCAACAUAUUGGCAAAAAGCUGGAGGAAAAAGGAGAGAAGAGUCGUGCAUAAAAGGGCAUAGUCAUAUACGAUACAUCAUAGAAGGUAGUCGAAGUUACGAGAUCGGAAGGACUCCGGCCAUAAUUCGCGAGGUGAGAAUAGGACUAAAGGGGGGAAUGCCCUGGUUUUUAAAUUUAUUCAUAGAACAAUUGCCUAGAUGACAAAGGACAAUGUUAAAGUAUUAAAAGCCAUAUGGUAUGAGAAUGAGAAGCGCAUCAGACAAUAUUCGAGGACAAAUGUUCCAAAGGGGGUAAUAAUGUUACAACCCAUAUUUUUGUAUGUGAAAGUACGUCGUAAGUCCGUUGAUGGAAGCUUGAAAAUGAGAUCUUCUUGGAAAGUAUAUAAAGUAACUUAAUGGUGUUACAUCCUAUAUUUUUGUUUUCAAGACUUUGAGAGUUAAUAUUCAAGGAUAAAUGUUUAUAAGGGUACAUGUUGUUACACCCCGUACUUCAGAUGUUACUAUCAUUAUAGGAUUAUGUAANNNNNNNNNNNNNNNNNNNNNNNNNNNNNNNNNNNNNNNNNNNNNNNNNNNNNNNNNNNNNNNNNNNNNNNNNNNNNNNNNNNNNNNNNNNNNNNNNNNNNNNNNNNNNNNNNNNNNNNNNNNNNNNNNNNNNNNNNNNNNNNNNNNNNNNNNNNNNNNNNNNNNNNNNNNNUAAAGUUUGAGAAAAAUCGGAUUUAAGUUGUGAAAAAAUCGACUAAGGAUUUACCUUGUAAUGAAGUUUUUUUAGUAAUAUAUUUCGUGUGUUAUAUGAGAUCUUUUUGGGACAUAUUAUAUACAAAAUUGAAGGUCUUGUAAUGUAUUUUCCAACGCUCUUAACCGUUUAUUUAUUCGACAUCCGGAUAAAAAGAUAUAAGCGUUUGAAAAAAGGCCAAUAAGAGAGUGGAACGUGGCACCUUUUUGACUUUUAGAAAAGGGGAUGUUUCUCUCUCUAUCUCGUCUCUAACUUUGGUUUUCUAGAGAGCUCGACCAUAUAACACCCCUAAACUCAUCCUCAAGUCCUCCAUAAGGAUUUUCAACGAUACUAUCAUCCGAGGCACGAAAUCACGAAGCAAUAACACAAGAACUAUCCCCACGACGUAAGUAUUGCUAUAUAACCUCUCUUUUUCUUUGUAGUUUGAGUUUUGGAAGGUAUUUUGAAGUUAAUAAAAAUGCCUAAUUUCUGGUUUCAAGAUCUUAAAUAUCAAGUAAGGUUGAUUAAUUCAUUUCAUAAUAUUUAGAACUCACGGGAUGGUGAUCGGAAGCCGUGAGUUCGAGUUAUUUCAUUUGUAAUGGACUGUUUUGUGGGCUGUUUCGUGUAGCUUUUGAGCUAUAUAUUUUGCUGCUAUUUAAUGGAGUUUUUGGAGGAUAAAUGGUGUGGAGAAACACCACAUAUUGGUGAAAUAAUGGAUUAGUAAUUCUUUAUAAUACUUUCGAGGUGUUGGACACUACUAUAGUCGUUGUUUUUGGUAUGAAUUGAUUGGGGUAUGUUGGGAUAUUGUAAGCUAAAUAUAACAUAGAUUUCGACUUGUAUCUACUGUAGGAGGUAAUUAUAUUGUGUUCCAACAAGUUCUUAAGGUUAUAUUGACAUCGGUUGAGUUAAAUGGAUGAACUAGACAUGAACUAGUGAAUAAAGUUGCCAAUUAAGAAUAAUUGGAGUUGUGGAUCAUUUUAUUUGUUAUGGAUAUAUGGUAUAAGGCUGGAAUUACUGAUGAAUGACUUCAUUAUCAUAUUAAUUAUACUAUUAAGUUAAAAUAAAAGGUUUAUAAGGGAUGAUAUGGGGUAUAUGAAUUCCAAUUGGAGCUUGUCGCUCGUUGUAAAAUAGUUAUGACUUGUUGUUGUUUUAUGGUGUCUUGUUUUUGAUAAUUAUGUAUUGCUAGAUUUCUCUGGUAAUUUUUGUGGGUAUAUUAUAUUGGAGGACACUCUUGUUACAGGGGAGAUGCUACCCGAAUUUAUAUAAACAAGCUACAAGUUUAAAUUGCAGAUUUAGCCUUUAUUCAACACUGAUUUUGAAUCUCCUUAUGUAAUGGUGGAUUGAGUUGAGUUGUUUGAAGAGUAGAUUGGGAGGUAUUAAGGACUCACCAUGGUUAAGGUAUGUUAAGGCACUUUAUUCUUUCUUUUGGCAUGAUCUAAAUUGAAAUGAACAUAAACGAUACACUAUUUCAUAAUGAAUCUACUCCUAGCAAAUAAGGUUGUACAUGUUGUUAUUUCCGUACAAAGUUAUUCUAAGAAAGUAUGUAUGAUCCCUGAGUCCUAGUGAAGUUCAUAUUGAUGGUAUGAUGUCCAUAAUGCUAAUCAAAGGUGAAAGGACCUUACGUCACUCUGAAAGGUUUAGAACGUGAUUCCAUGAGUCUAGCAUGCAUUAUAUAAAAUAUCUAUUUUGAUCUACCAAGCCGCACUAUAGUAGGUCGGGUACGACACCUAUUGUGCAACCACUGAUCAGUUGGAUUUACCGAGCUUCACGUGGCCGGGUACGAUUCUACCGAGCCUUUUGAUGGUCGGGUAAGUUUUUAUCGAGUCCUAUUUGAGGCCGGGUACGAUAUGAUGAUGAUGAUGCCUACAGAGGCGUAUGUUUUUAAAAGUUUAUGUAUAUCUAUGUAUUAUGCACUUCAUGUCAGUAGCUCCCAGAGGCACACAGAUGUUACAGGUUGUAUCUCCUCUAUCUCUCUUUACAUUAAUGUUCUUGUUUAUGCUUUCCUGCCUUACAUACUCAGUACUUUAUUUGUACUGACGUCCCUUUUGCUUGGGGACGCUGCGUUUCAUGCCUGCAGGUCCCGAUUGAUAGGUUGACAGUCUUCCUAGUAGGCUAUCAGCUCAGCGGAGGUGUUGGUGCACUCCACUUGCUCUGGAGUUGCCUAUUUGGUCAGUAUGCUUUGGAUAUGUAUUGAUUGGUAUGGCGGGACCUGUCCCGACCUUUAUGAUUUUAUGUACUCUUAGAGGCUUGUAGACAGAUAUCAGGUUUAUGGAUACGUGUAUGGCCUUAUUGGCCUAUGCGUUGAGUUUACAAAUGGCCUGUAUGUCACAUGUAUAAAUUUGUAUAUCAUG
rnacentral:lncRNA from 1 species